rnacentral:piRNA from 1 species
GACGCACUAAAAUACAACUUUCACAUUG